CGCACUUGUGCUUGUUUUUGUUUAGUUUGUGAACAAAGACAUAGACAAAGUGCAAAAAAUAAAUCCUCUUUUGCAACCCAGAACUCAUGGCUCAGUAUGAGUUUUGAUACAGAUAAGAAGGAACAAG
rnacentral:snoRNA from 2 species